rnacentral:rRNA from 1 species
UACGCAGGGGGCGAGCGUUGUUCGGAAUUACUGGGCGUAAAGGGCGCGUAGGCGGCGAACCAAGUCAGAUGUGAAAGUCCUGGGCUUAACCUGGGGACUGCAUUUGAUACUGGUUUGCUUGAAUUCGGGAGAGGAUAGCGGAAUUCCCAGUGUAGAGGUGAAAUUCGUAGAUAUUGGGAAGAACACCGGUGGCGAAGGCGGCUAUCUGGACCGACAUUGACGCUGAGGUGCGAAAGCGUGGGGAGCAAACAGG